ACGAACGCUGGCGGCGUGCCUAAUCCAUGCAAGUAGAACGCUGAAGAGAGGAGCUUGCUCUUCUUGGAUGAGUUGCGAACGGGUGAGUAACGCGUAGGUAACCUGCCUUGUAGCGGGGGAUAACUAUUGGAAACGAUAGCUAAUACCGCAUAACAAUGGAUGACACAUGUCAUUUAUUUGAAAGGGGCAAUUGCUCCACUACAAGAUGGACCUGCGUUGUAUUAGCUAGUAGGUGAGGUAAUGGCUCACCUAGGCGACGAUACAUAGCCGACCUGAGAGGGUGGUCGGCCACCCUGGGACUGAGACACGGCCCAGACUCCUACGGGAGGCAGCAGUAGGGAAUCUUCGGCAAUGGGGGCAACCCUGACCGAGCAACGCCGCGUGAGUGAAGAAGGUUUUCGGAUCGUAAAGCUCUGUUGUAAGUCAAGAACGGGUGUGAGAGUGGAAAGUUCACACUGUGACGGUAGCUUACCAGAAAGGGACGGCUAACUACGUG
rnacentral:rRNA from 1 species